GGGGUGCCCUAGUAGCUGGCUGCGGAAGCAGUUGGUGAACGGGUCGCAGGGAAACGGCCCAAGCGACUGUUUAGCAAAAACACAGGUCUCUGCUAAGGAGGAAUCCGACGUAUAGGGGCUGACGCCUGCCCGGUGCUGGAAGGUUAAGGGGAGGGGUUAGCCGGAAGGCGAAGCUCUGAACCGAAGCCCCAGUGAACGGCGGCCGUAACUAUAACGGUCCUAAGGUAGCGAAAUUCCUUGUCGGGUAAGUUCCGACCCGCACGAAAGGCGUAACGACUUGGGCGCUGUCUUGACGAGGGGCCCGGCGAAAUUGUAGUAUGAGUGAAGAUGCUCAUUACCCGCAGCUGGACGGAAAGACCCCGUGGAGCUUUACUGCAGCCUGAUAUUGGAUUUCGGCGCUGGAUGUACAGGAUAGGUGGGAGGCAUAGAAGCUAGCUCGUCAGGGCUAGUGGAGCCGCCGGUGGGAUACCACCCUUUCAGCGUUGAGGUUCUAACACCGAGCCGUAAGCCGGCCGGUGGACAGUGUCAGGUG
rnacentral:ncRNA from 1 species